UACGUAGGGUGCGAGCGUUAAUCGGAAUUACUGGGCGUAAAGCGUGCGCAGGCGGUUUUGUAAGCCGGGUGUGAAAUCCCCGGGCUUAACCUGGGAAUGGCAUUCGGGACUGCAAGGCUGGAGUGCGGCAGAGGAGACUGGAAUUCCUGGUGUAGCAGUGAAAUGCGUAGAUAUCAGGAGGAACACCGAUGGCGAAGGCAGGUCUCUGGGCUGACACUGACGCUCAUGCACGAAAGCGUGGGGAGCAAACAGG
rnacentral:rRNA from 1 species